rnacentral:rRNA from 1 species
CGACAGAUCCCUUCGGGGUGAAGAUGAAAUGGAUUAGCGGCGGACGGGUGAGUAACACGUGAGUAACCUGCCUUUGACAUUGGGAUAGCCUCGGGAAACUGGGAUUAAUACCAAGUGACACUAACUGAUCACAUGAUCAAUUAGUCAAAGAAAUUCGGUCAAAGAUGGACUCGCGGCUGAUUAGCUAGUUGGUGAGGUAACGGCCCACCAAGGCGACGAUCAGUAGCCGGCCUGAGAGGGUGACCGGCCACAUUGGAACUGAGACACGGUCCAAACUCCUACGGGAGGCAGCAGUGGGGAAUAUUGCACAAUGGGGGAAACCCUGAUGCAGCGACGCCGCGUGAGCGAAGAAGGCCUUCGGGUCGUAAAGCUCUUUUAUGAGGGAAGAUAAUGACGGUACCUCAAGAAAAAGCCCCGGCUAACUACGUGCCAGCAGCCGCGGUAAUACGUAGGGGGCUAGCGUUGUCCGGAAUCACUGGGCGUAAAGGGUUCGCAGGCGGAAUAACAAGUCAGAUGUGAAAGGCAUGGGCUCAACCCAUGUAAGCAUUUGAAACUGUAAUUCUUGAGAAGUGGAGAGGUAAGUGGAAUUCCUAGUGUAGCGGUGAAAUGCGUAGAUAUUAGGAGGAAUACCUGUGGCGAAGGCGACUUACUGGACACAAAUCUGACGCUGAGGAACGAAAGCGCGGGUAGCAAACAGGAUUAGAUACCCUGGUAGUCCACGCCGUAAACGAUGAGUGUAGGUGUCGGGGGAGACCUCGGUGCCGGCGUUAACACAAUAAGCACUCCGCCUGGGGAGUACGUGCGCAAGCAUG